rfam:Bat coronavirus CDPHE15/TSA/2006, complete genome.
GUGGAUCCCUCACUAGUUCCGUCUGGUGAGGUGCGUGGAUAGUGUGUUCUGUCACACUUGAAGCCGACAACUGCUCAGUAUGGCAAGCAAUCAUCUAACACUGGCUU